GCCAGUGUGGUACAGUGGUUCGAGCAUAGGACUUGGACUUUGGGGAUCAGGGUUUGAUUCCCUGCUCAGCCA